AAAGUCGAAGACGACGAGAUGAUAUCCUUUAUUCUCACUAGUUUGGAUAGUGAAUAUAAUCCUAUUGUUACCUCUGUUAUGGGUCAUCCUGAUGAGAUUCCCUUGAGCGAACUGUAUGCUCAGGUGAUGGCGUAUGAGA
rnacentral:snoRNA from 1 species